rnacentral:rRNA from 1 species
CCUACGGGCGGCAGCAGUGGGGGAUAUUGCACAAUGGGGGAAACCCUGAUGCAGCGAUGCCGCGUGAAUGAAGACGGCCUUCGGGUUGUAAAGUUCUGUCGCAGGGGACGAAAAUGACGGUACCCUGCAAGAAAGCUCCGGCUAACUACGUGCCAGCAGCCGCGGUAAUACGUAGGGAGCAAGCGUUGUCCGGAAUUACUGGGUUUAAAGGGUGCGCAGGCGGAGGUGCAAGUCAGCGGUCAAAUUGCGGGGCUCAACCCCGUACUGCCGUUGAAACUGCAUCCCUUGAGUGCGCGAGAAGUAUGCGGAAGGCGUGGUGUAGCGGUGAAAUGCAUAGAUAUCACGCAGAACUCCGAUUGCGAAGGCAGCAUACCGGCGCGCAACUGACGCUCAUGCACGAAAGCGUGGGUAUCGAACAGGAUUAGAUACCCGUGUAGUC